rnacentral:rRNA from 1 species
GUUUGAUCCUGGCUCAGAUUGAACGCUGGCGGCAUGCUUUACACAUGCAAGUCGAACGGCAGCACGGGUGCUUGCACCUGGUGGCGAGUGGCGGACGGGUGAGUAAUGCAUCGGAACGUGUCCUAAAGUGGGGGAUAACGCAUCGAAAGAUGUGCUAAUACCGCAUAUUCUCUGAGGAGGAAAGUAGGGGAUCGAAAGACCUUAUGCUUUUGGAGCGGCCGAUGUCUGAUUAGCUAGUUGGUAAGGUAAUGGCCUACCAAGGCGAUGAUCGGUAGCUGGUCUGAGAGGAUGAUCAGCCACACUGGGACUGAGACACGGCCCAGACUCCUACGGGAGGCAGCAGUGGGGAAUAUUGGACAAUGGGGGGCAACCCUGAUCCAGCAAUGCCGCGUGGAUGAAGAAGUCUUCGGAUUGUAAAGUCCUUUCGGCGGGGACGAUGAUGACGGUACCGCAGAAGAAGCCCCGGCUAACUUCGUGCCAGCAGCCGCGG